AUCCAGCCGAGCCCUCCUGCUCAAAAGAUGGAAGAAGAGGUUGGAAGGGACCUUGAGGGUUGUCUAGUCCGUCCCCCUGCUCAGAAGAUGGGAUAACUACAGUUGCAAGGAGGUCGAGGUCAUCUAGCCGAGCCCCCCCUCAGAAGAUGGAAUAACUAGAGUUGGGAAGGGACCUCGAGGAUCAUCCAGUUGAGCCCCCUGCUCAGAAGACGGGGUAACUUGAGUUGAAAGGGACCUUGAGGGUCGUCUCGUCCUCCCCCUUGCCCAGCAGACAGAAUAACAAGACUUGCAAGGCAUCAAGGAGGUCAUCCAGCCGAGCCCCCCCAGCUCAGAAGACAGGGUUUGGAAGAGGCCUUGGAGAUUAUCUAGUCUGCCCUCCGCUUCGAAUAACAGGGUGGGAAGGGAUCCCCGAGGUCACCCAGUCCAUCCCUUUGCUUAGAAAGACUGAAGAACAGAGUCGGAAGGGGGCCUUGGCAGUCAUCUAGUCCAGCCCUGGGACAGAUGCUAUAUAUAUAUAUAUGUCUUAAUACCCUCCGCAAUAAAUCUGGUGGCUGGAGCUGCCGGUUGAGAUCAUGGGGGUGUCUUUGUGCAGGUGGUCCCAAUGAGCUGAGCACAACCACCUCAAAGAGCAUCUGAUGGGCUGCAGAAAAACCAAUGAAAUAUAUCCCUCUUGCUGCAGCGGGUUGUUUGCAACAGCUGUUGCAUCGACAAGGCAACGCGGGGCACGGGAGGCAUCCAGACUGACCCCUUCCCCGUUUCCCAGGUUGCACGUGAGAAUCUGGCCCGGCUGAACUGGCCCACACGCUUAACUGGAGCAGUGGGAAAUCCUCAAUUGUAAAUGUGACUCGUGACGCAGCCUCUUGCGUGUCGCGGGAGCAUGCAGUAGCACCCUGGAGUAGUUCAAACCUAUUUUGUUCUCAAAGGUGGUGCAGAGUAAGCAGAGGAAACCUGAGGAUUUGUUGGCUGCGACAACACACACACACA